GAUUAUCCCAAAUCACAAUUUCCCAAACUUUAAGUAAGAAUUUAACCUCCAAUUUAUAUGCUAAGUUUUACACAUUAAACAGCACUCAAUAAAAAAACCCGUAGCCUAGCCAAAGACAUAAGAAUGCACCAUUAAUAACUAGAAGCAAAUGAAUUGAACAGGAUAUUCAGACUUUUAAUUUUCCAAUCUUCCAUACAACCCCACAAAAGGUAUGAGACAAACAGAUGUAGAAGCCUGAAGAACACCAGAAGUGCCCCAACUCCAACAUCAAUCAAACACACUGCACCAUCAUUUCACUCUACUUCCUUAUAAUUCUAUAUCAAACACGUCACCAGACACAAUUUUCGAAAAUCAGAUUCAAUCUCUCAAACUCUCAUAAAUCAGGCCAGUCAUUUUUUUCCAAAUUUCCAUCAAUGCAGGCCAAGCAACACACAAUUACAAAAAUAUUCGACCCAUUUCCCCAUUAACCACCUUUCUCGUUAAUCACACAACUCUGCGAAGAGCCCCAUUCAUACAUCCAGUCCCGAUCGUCCAAACCAAAAUCCACUCCUCCAAACCCCAAAAUUCCUUCAUCAGCCCAACCUAAAAAUAAAAACUAAAAGCAAUCCCAGGAAAAAUAAAAUAAAAUAAAAUAUCUAAAGAGAGUUAGUUUGAAGGAUAGAAAUCCUACAAGCUUUACUGGAGAACUUUGAAAUAAAUAAUCAUCUCAUUUGCAUACAAAUGUUCCCAUUAACAAAAGGGAAGUAUGUCGAUGCUAUGUGUGUGGUAGUUUUGUUGUAAUGCAAAUCUCAAAUGACUGCCAUUAGAACAUUCUGAUACAUUGAAUCAAGGUAAAAAAUGGUCUAUUAAAAGCACUCAAAUAUAUAUUUGUUUUCUCACAUUACAUACAAGUUCCCGAUUUCAUAACAAUGGAUACACACAUGCAAAGACAAAAUUUGUAACCACAUCGAAUUCAAAGAAAAUAUCCACAUUAGCUAUAGUCUGAGAGGGGCAAAAGAAGAAUCUAAAAAAUCUGUUCAGCAAGAAUGCAUAUGCAUAAAAUGAGCUAAGCUCUUACAACUGUGUGCUUGUCCUUGGUGUCAUAGUUGGCAUUGGAGACAUGGGCGCAGUCAAUUGAAUUUGUCUUCCUGUAAGUAUGUAAGUAUGUUGCCAUAAUGAGACAUGAAGCAAAAAAUAGAUUGUGUAAAAAACUUCAAACAAUUAGCAGUUCCAGAAAGAAUACUUGACAUUUGGCCGAUACAAAAGAUUAUGGAGUUGCAAAAUAUAUGUAAAAGAUUUGUACUUCAUUUUUAAUAGAACCCAAACUGGAUUGAGGAUUCACAGAUUGCAGCAACAGCAUUCACAUCAUGUGGAUCCCAUGCUCCACCAGAUAAGUAAUGCAACAUACUGGAUGACUCCUUGGAAUGAACCUAGAUUUUGCAACAUCUGAAUAAGCAUCUGCGUAAGAAUUCAAGGUACUGGUAAAGUUCUAUGCAUUUUCUCAACAAGUGAACUUCAUUUAGGGUCACAAAUUGCAGACUGAUGAUGUCUUCCAAGAUUAUGUUUCCAGCAAGAGGCAUGACAAACAAAAUGAGUUCACUUGAUGGUAUGACUUGGCAGUUAAAUGUUGUACCACAUACAUAAACACCAGAACCAUCAUUAUGCUAGAAUCUCUAUCAAAAACUCUGCCUGGGCUGCUUUUCUAGAACAAUCUAAACUCAAUAAGAAAAGAUAUUCCUCAUCAAUGCUGAUUGGCUUAUCAUUUCUCCCAGAUGGCGACCAUAAAGUGCCAUAAAGUGCUGUUUGAUGAACAAAUAAAGUGAGCCAAAGGAAAAAUAUGCAAGGAUUAAACCCCACUAAUUAAGCACAAAAUACAAAAUUCACAUGGCUAAAAAUAACUUGAAGGAAAAUUUGAACAAAAUAAAAAUGCAGAAAACAAGAUUCUUAGGUGAGAUUGCAUGAAGAGUGUAAGACCAAAGAACCAAAUGUUUCUUAUGGGUGUGAGAUACAGAUCUGAUAACUUUUCUAAAGUCGUCUAUGUUUUUUGGUAAAUUUUUUUUGUCUGAGAAGACAAAUAAGAGUAGGAUGCACAGGCAUUGACUUGUAUGAGAAGGAUGUAUAAACUAACCAAUUAAUCUUGCCAGAGUGUGCAUCAAGGGAUGCAAUUUUUUCUAAUUGAGGUGAAUUUAGCUGGCCAUAUAACUCAGGAAUCUGCCAUACAGCUGCUCCAUAUGAUUCAUCUUCAAUAAUGACAAGAAAAUUCAACAGCUGUGGCAUUUCUAAAUUCUAAUGGUUGCAUAAAAAUCGAGAGAGGCGCAAGCAAAUAUUUUCAGCCAGAUCUUUCAAUUUUUCACGUGAGCAAUUGAUUCACCGAAAAACACUAACUGUCAUAAUGCCCAAAAUGUCAGUCAAUUCCCUACCAAAAGAAUUGUAAAAUAUCACGCUUUAGUGGUAAAUUAACAGCCUAAUAUUUAAUGAGCUUAACAGUAAAGAAGCAACUCAAGCCUGAAAAUUACAAUUCCGAACAGAUUUCAUUAUGUACCCAAAACAACUAAUAAUAACUAACAAAAGGAACAAGUGUAAGCAGAACGGGAUCAAUGAGGUACCAGUAGAGAAGACAGUGGAGAAGAUGCGUUGAUCAAUGAGGCAUGAAGAGAGGUCCCGGAUCUCAUUAGGAAUGUCAAAACAAGCCCUCGCAUACGAGUUCAGUUCCACCAUUCAAACAAAUCAUGGAAGAGAAAGCAGAACCUCAUUUUCCUCUCCAAGGCUGAGAGUGCAAGUGAUGAAGCUGGCGUGAUCGGUGUCUGCUUUCACAUCUGAAAUGCAUCUAGCCUGGGCAGGACAGGAAUGAGAUGAGGUGUCUUUGGCGCGAGAUGAGAUUAGAA
rnacentral:misc_RNA from 1 species